GUUAACGAUAUUUGUUUAGCACGUGCAAUAGGAGUGACUCACACAAGCCAGGUGCGCCGGCCGUGUCGUUCGACUCGUAAACAACAGCUGCAACAGAAGUGACUCAUAAGCCAGCUGCGCCGGCUAGUAUAAAAAGGCGGAACGUGCCUUGCAAUGAACAUUCGUUGGACUGCGUUUGCCCGGUGCACUUACUAUAUCCUUGUUACGUUGUGUGAUUCAGUGACUGUUGUACGUACUGGUUAAAGUUGGACAAGUGUUAAAGUGAAUUGUUAAGAUAACAUAUUGUUGAUUAAAUCAGAAAUCAAAGGUGACUUCGUGUUACUUGGUGUUCAACAAAAUAAUGUCUACCCUCAAGCUUACAUCAGAAGUGGGAUCAGGACCCUACUCUCACUGGCGUGACGUGUUUGAACAUGUUCGAAGUACAGCAAAAAAAACAUGAUGCAGAUCAGAAUACUAGUAGUGGUACGCCACAAGAGCGUGAAUGCAGCAUACGUAAGUCGUGUAAUAACGUCUCUGUUACCUCGAUGGAAGAUCUGAGCCACGAAGAAAUCGUCACAUCUUACGUUCUGGCUCAUGUUGCCCAGUUUGACUGUCGACUUCAUCACAUGGCAUUUACUAACGGAAAUACAACACGUAACAAGCUAUUGCAAGAAAUUAAGCAAGCAAGCAAACAAGAAAGCAAGCAAGUUUCCGUGGGGAAGAAAAAUUGACACAUCUGAAGUCGUCGUGACCUGUAAGAUAAGACGUCCGGUGCGUUCGUGUCUGGCGAUGCGGCGAUGUUCGGGUUCCGGCUGGCGGAUGCAGGUUUUUCCGGUGAAGUGCGUGCUUGUGCGUGCUUGACAAGUGUUCGCGGUUGGCUUCCUCAGUGUGGGAGUAACGUCGUGUAAGAGAGGUGGAACCCGUAAAAUUGUAGUUUGCGUGGUGGCUGGUAAGAUUUGUUGCGGUAAGAAGUUUGCAUGGUGGUAAAAUGUCUUGUGAGUCUGCACAGGUAGCCGGAGGUGAGACUUCCGCGGUCGCGGCCCACCCAGUCCGCGAGAACCGGGCAGAUCGCCUCGACGGUACGGAGGCCGGCUGACGGGUCCGCCAAACGACGAGACCACGCCUCCAGCACGGACUGCCGAUAUUGGAGCCCCCGCGCUCCGGCUGCACUUGCGCUAGGGCGCGCCGCCUCGUAGGAGACUGUGAGCCUGCAAAACCUGAACAACCUCCUCAUCCGUGGGCGCCCGGCUCUCGCCUGCAAGUCGGCUGUUACGUGUGCGGUGAUGCGAGCCAUGUAGCUUCUGGGUGUUCCAUGCGCUACAAGAAGAAAAACGACACUGCUCCAGGUGCUGUGGCAGGUCCAACCAGAGACGUCAACGUGUGUUCCAGAGCUUCAGUGUGUUACAGAUAAGUGGUUUUGGCUUCCCCUUUAUGUUCCAUUCAGGGUCAGAAUGUAGUCUUAUAAAACAAAGUCAUAGUAAUUUAUUCAAUGGUAAGCGGUUUCAUGAACAAGUCACUCUUUGAUCUGAAAGUAACCUAGACCAAUCAUGAUGGCAAGAGCACUUAGGGGAUAUUCAACUCGCCCUUAAUAGUGCACGUUGUCGAGUAACAGGGUUUACUCCAAUAGAAUAGACGUUUGCCGUUCAGGGUAGUUCACUUGAAAUAUCUUAAAGUUUCAACAGAGUGAUAAUCCCUCUAGAUUAGAUCUUGAUUUAGCACGGUCGAAGACCGGCGAAAACAUAAAAAAAGGGCACAAACAGAAGCUUGGUUUAGUCGAGGCAAAGCUAAAGUCAAACUCUUUUCCGCUGGGGAUUUUGUUUUCGUAAGUUGACCGAAAAUGUAAAGGUCCCUUCAACAUUACUGCAGUUUUGGAAAACGAUAGGUAUAAAUUGAGACAUGUAAAUAGUUCUAAUAGAGUGUACAAAUUUCCCCAUGAAAACUUACGUGAAAUACCUCGAGGCCCGUCAGGCCUACUAGAAAUUUCUAAAAAUUAUAGUGACGAUGACGUGACGGCGUACACAGAUGGGUUAAUUAAUCUUGUUCAUGAAACUGAUCUUAAUGAUGACGACUCUAUCACUGACAAUAGAAGCGACAUUUUUGUCCGCAAAUAGCGAUACAGCAAACAUAGUCUGUGGGUAGUGAUACAAUGUCUGUAAGCUCAGGCACCUCAGGUGCAGGUGUUGGAAAUGUAGAAAACGAUGGUCGGUCUCGCACUAUUUCUGAAGAAAUUCCGUAUAAAUGUUCUGGUUUAAGAGAUGUUUUAACAAAAGUUACCGUACACGCAGAUUAAAAAAAAAAAAAAGAGAAUUGUAUGUGGCUAGAGAGGUGUUAAUCCGGACUAGCAAAAAAAAAAAAAAAAGAGAAAAAAAAAAAAAGAAAUUGUAAGUCAUUGAAGGGUGUAUCCGGUCCAAUGACUUGGCUAAAGGGAUGUUAAUCCGGACUAGCAAAAAAAAAAAAAAAGAGAAAAAAAAUGUAGGUCGUUGAAGGAUGUAUCCGGUCCAACGACUUGGCUAAAGGGAUGUUGAUCCGGACUAGCAAAGAAUAAAAAAAAAAGAGAAAAAAAAAAGUGUGAAGUCAUUGAAGGGUCUGUCCGGUCCAAUGGCUUGGCUAUAGGGAUUUUCAUCCGGACUAGCCACAACAAUUAGCUACAGGGAUUGCGAUCCGGUCUAGCAUUAUCCGGUCCAGUUCGAAAAACUGAAGGGAUAACAAUUCCGAUUUAAGUUAAAAGGGACAUACUUACAUACCUGAAGAGUUUUAAAUGAACUGGCCCAGGUAUGUAAGCAGUCAGUAUUUAUAACCAGUAUAGGAUUUUCUGAAGAAUUAUGCGAACCGAUCCGUACUAGAUUGUUAAUAUCAUAGACCACGUUUUAAGUUGCAUCCGUUAAUGUCAGGAUGAACGAACACGUUUGUUGUUCACAGACAUACCAUAAGAAUACGCGCACGAGGACGAGCGCACGUCAGUAUGGCCGUGACGGCGUUAACGAUAUUUGUUUAGCACGUGCAAUAGGAGUGACUCACACAAGCCAGGUGCGCCGGCCGUGUCGUUCGACUCGUAAACAACAGCUGCAACAGAAGUGACUCAUAAGCCAGCUGCGCCGGCUAGUAUAAAAAGGCGGAACGUGCCUUGCAAUGAACAUUCGUUGGACUGCGUUUGCCCGGUGCACUUACUAUAUCCUUGUUACGUUGUGUGAUUCAGUGACUGUUGUACGUACUGGUUAAAGUUGGACAAGUGUUAAAGUGAAUUGUUAAGAUAACAUAUUGUUGAUUAAAUCAGAAAUCAAAGGUGA